rnacentral:rRNA from 1 species
AGAGUUUGAUCAUGGCUCAGGAUGAACGCUAGCUACAGGCUUAACACAUGCAAGUCGAGGGGCAGCAUGUUGGUUGCUUGCAACCAACGAUGGCGACCGGCGCACGGGUGAGUAACGCGUAUCCAACCUACCCUUGUCCAUCGGAUAACCCGUCGAAAGGCGGCCUAACACGAUAUGCGGUUCACAGCAGGCAUCUAACGUGAACGAAAUGUAAAGGAGAAGGAUGGGGAUGCGUCUGAUUAGCUUGUUGGCGGGGUAACGGCCCACCAAGGGCUACGAUCGAGUAGGGGUUCUGGAGAGGAAGGUCCCCCANAUUGGAACUGAGACACGGUCCAGACUCCUACGGGAGCA